CCUGGUUGAUCCUGCCAGUAGUUAUAUGCUUGUCUUGAAGAUUAAGCCAUGCAUGUCUAAGUAUAAACCACUUUAUACUGGUGCAACUGCAGAAGGCUCAUUAAAACAGUUAUAGUUUAUUUGAUGGUAACCUACUACAUGGAUAACCGUAGUAAUUCUAGAGCUAAUACAUGCAUAAAACCGGGCUUCACGGCUUUGGUUGUAUUUAUUAGACUAAAAACCAAUGCAAGUCCUUCGGGAUUUGGUUUUUUGGUGAAUCAUAAUAACUUUUCGAAUCGCACGGAUUUACUCUGGCGAUAGAUCAUUCAAAUUUCUGCCCUAUCAGCUUUCAAUCGUAGUGUAGUGGACUACGAUGGCUUUGACGGGUGACGGAGAAUUAGGGUUCGAUUCCGGAGAGGGAGCCUGAGAAACGGCUACCACAUCUAAGGAUGGCAGCAGGCGCGCAAAUUACCCAAUCGCGACACGCGGAGGUAGUGAAGAUAAAUAACAAUACCGGUAGUUUUUACUUCUGGAAUUGGAAUGAGAACAAUUUAAAUCCCUUAACGAGGAUCCAUUGGAGGGCAAGUCUUGGUGCCAGCAGCCGCGGUAACACCAGCUCCAAUAGCGUAUAUUAAAGUUGCUGCAGUUAAAAAGCUCGUAGUUGGAUAUCUGGAUCGGAUGCCUGGCCCGUAUCCUUCGGGGUAUUGUGUGCCGGUUAGCAUCUGAUUCAUCAUUCCGGACUAGGUGGGAGUGUAUUCUUUCGAGUUUAUACUCCUAUCAUAUGUCUGCAUCUUUUACUUUGAAAAAAUUAGAGUGUUCAAAGCAGGCAUUAUGCUUCUGAAUACGUUAGCAUGGAAUAAUAAAAUAGGACUUCGUUUGUUAAUGUGGUGGUUGGGCAACCGGCCAUCGCAUCAAUAUUAAUUCUAUUUUGUUGGUUUCUAGGAACGAAGUAAUGAUUGAUAGGGAUAGUUGGGGGUGCUUGUAUUGGACGGCCAGAGGUGAAAUUCUUGGAUUCGUUCAAGACAAACCUAUGCGAAAGCAUUCACCAAGGAUGUCUUCUUUAAUCAAGAACGAAAGUUGUGGGAUCGACGACGAUUAGAUACCGUCUUAGUCGCAACCAUAAACUAUGCCAACUAAGGAUCAGUGAACGUUGGUCUAGACUCCAUUGGCACUUUACGAGAAAUCAAAGUUUUUGGGUUCCGGGGGAAGUCUAGUCGCAAGGCUGAAACUUAAAGGAAUUGACGGAAGGGCACCACCAGGAGUGGAGCCUGCGGCUUAAUUUGACCCAACACGGGAAAACUUACCAGGUCCAGACAUAGUUAGGAUUGACAGAUUGCAGAUCUUUCAUGAUUCUAUGGGUGGUGGUGCAUGUCCGUUCUUAGUUGGUGGAUUGAUUUGUCUGGUUAAUUCCGAUCAACGAACGAGACCUCAGCCUGCUAAAUAGUUCGUCGGAAAUCCAUUUCCGCGUAACUUCUUAGAGGGACUGUCGGUUUCUAGCCGAAGGAAGUUUGAGGCAAUAACAGGU
rnacentral:rRNA from 1 species